GAACGCUGGCGGCAGGCCUAACACAUGCAAGUCGAACGGUAACAUUUCUAGCUUGCUAGAAGAUGACGAGUGGCGGACGGGUGAGUAAUGCUUAGGAAUCUGCCCAGUAGCGGGGGACAACAUGGUGAAAACCAUGCUAAUACCGCAUACGCCCUACGGGGGAAAGCAGGGGAUCUUCGGACCUUGCACUAUUGGAUGAGCCUAAGUCAGAUUAGCUUGUUGGUGGGGUAACGGCCUACCAAGUCGACGAUCUAUAGCUGGUUUGAGAGGAUGAUCAGCCACACUGGAACUGAGACACGG
rnacentral:rRNA from 18 species